UCUUCAUUUUGCACACUCUAUCGCCCCUCUGACCGGUGAGACAGUGUGCAAAAUGAAGAGA
rnacentral:pre_miRNA from 1 species